rnacentral:rRNA from 1 species
UACGAAGGUGGCAAGCGUUACUCGGAAUUACUAGGCGUAAAGGGCAGGUAGGUGGUUUGAUAAGUCUGUUGUGAAAGCUCCUGGCUUAACUGGGAGAGGUCAACGGAUACUGUCGGACUUGAGUAUAGGAGAGGUUACUGGAAUUCCCGGUGUAGCGGUGAAAUGCGCAGAUAUCAGGAGGAACACCGGUGGCGAAGGCGGGUCUCUGGGCAGUAACUGACGCUGAGGAGCGAAAGCGUGGGGAGCGAACAGG